AUUUUUCUCUCUUCCAAUUUCUCUACUCAGAUCCUUCGCCAGCUUUUCAAGAUGAAUACUAGAAGUUUUCAGCUUUUCAUGGUCUUGGCUCUCUUGGCCACCUCAUGUAUCGCUCAAUCGCCGGCUCCUGCACCGACGGUGACACCACCUCCACCGCCAGCACCAACACCAACACCGUCUCCACCUCCAUCAACACCACCCCCAGCACCAACCCCACCGCCCGCCACUCCACCGCCCGCACCAACCCCACCGCCCGUCUCUCCCCCAACUCCGACCCCCGUCACUCCUCCCACAGCCGAGCCUACUCCCGCUCCCAGCUCUUCUUCCUCCCCACCUGCUCCCCCGAGCGGCACCCCCUCCGGCCAACCCGCAGCGCAGCCGAGCGCCGACUCUC
rnacentral:lncRNA from 1 species